rnacentral:rRNA from 1 species
UACGUAGGGGGCAAGCGUUGUCCGGAAUCAUUGGGCGUAAAGCGCGUGUAGGCGGCUUGGUAAGUCUGCUCUGAAAGCCCGGGGCUCAACCCUGGGAGGCGGGUGGAUACUGCUGAGCUCGAGUCCGGAAGAGGCGAGUGGAAUUCCUGGUGUAGCGGUGAAAUGCGCAGAUAUCAGGAGGAACACCAAUUGCGAAGGCAGCUCGCUGGGACGUGACUGACGCUGAGACGCGAAAGCGUGGGGAGCAAACAGG